rnacentral:tRNA from 1 species
GGACGAGUAGCUCAGCUGGCUAGAGCGCGCGCUUCACACGCGUGAGGUCGGGGGUUCGAGUCCCUCCUCGUCCA